CAGUAGCCGCGGUAAUACGGAGGGAGCUAGCGUUGUUCGGAAUUACUGGGCGUAAAGCGCGCGUAGGCGGUUACUCAAGUCAGAGGUGAAAGCCCGGGGCUUAACCCCGGAACUGCCUUUGAAACUAGGUGACUAGAAUCUUGGAGAGGUCAGUGGAAUUCCGAGUGUAGAGGUGAAAUUCGUAGAUAUUCGGAAGAACACCAGUGGCGAAGGCGACUGACUGGACAAGUAUUGACGCUGAGGUGCGAAAGCGUGGGGAGCAAACAGGAUUAGAUACCCCAGUAGUCCCUGUCUCUUAUAC
rnacentral:rRNA from 1 species